GGGCAGCACAGUAGAGCUGACCCUGGUGGCAAAAAUGCAGGAAAUUGAGGAUUAAGCAAUAAUACAGAAGGUGACACAGCACAUCAGUAACCAGUCACACAGUAUGAUACAGUCAAGUGGCAAAGGGAGAAGAGAAAAAGACAAAGAGAAAAUGAAGUCAUCUAACUUUAGGUCUUGAUGAUUGCUAUAUUAAAACACAGUCACCCUCUA